UCCUACGGGAGGCAGCAGUGGGGAAUCUUGCACAAUGGAGGAAACUCUGAUGCAGCGAUGCCGCGUGAGUGAAGAAGGCCCUUGGGUUGUAAAGCUCUUUUGUCGGGAAAGAUAAUGACUGUACCCGAAGAAUAAGGUCCGGCUAACUUCGUGCCAGCAGCCGCGGUAAU
rnacentral:rRNA from 1 species